GCGGCGGGCGCAGCCAAUGGGAGCGCGGCUUCCAUGGGGCCUGAGUUAUUAGACGGCGGGGUAAAAGCACCGCGCGGCAGAAGCCAAGGAGAGGCCGCGGGACCCGCAGCCAUUUUUCUGCAGUGGAGCGAAAUGGCCAACUGGGCUUUUCCUUUGUUCCAUAAAGGGGGAUCCGCCAUGUGAAUCCACACCACGCGGGGUGGUGGGAGCCUCUAGCACGGUGCCAGACGACUCACUGAAGAAGGAGGAUUUAAAUAUAUAUAUAUCUCAAACCCUUAACCAAAAAAAAAAAAGUAAUGCGGAUUUUUUUUUUUUCUCCCUUAUGAUUCGGGAUCCAUCUUUGUCUUGUGUAACUAGGUCAUGGCACACCCUAUGUCAGCAGUUAACAAUUUCGAAUGCCAACAAAAAAAGAGUAAAUACAUUCUUUUUAUAUUUUUUUCGUUGUUUUGGGGGUUUUUAAGCUUUAAGCAGCUCUGAUGACUGAACAAUAAAUUUGAGAGACUUCUCUCCUGUACUAAACACUUGAUUCCUGGCCAUUUUUAUUAACUCCUUUGGUGCUUAAAAGGUAAUGUUUUAAAUAUAGGUAUAGGAAUAGUGAAUUCUGGCAAAAAAUAAGGCAAUUUUACUAUGAUAAGCUUUUUCUCUUUCUUUCCUCUUAUAUUGUAAGUACCCAAUCCAUUCUGUCCUUACUAAGUGUAGUUUUCAUGUUAAUGUUACUGAAGUGGUCCUUAUUGCUAAGCCUUCAUUUGCAUGUCUUACGUUUUUGUCUGUUUAAACCAAUUUAUGCUUUUUUAAAAUAUUUUACUUAUAAAGCAAACUAUCUGGCUAAGAUAUGCUUAAAAGUUGUUUAGAACCAAUAAUGUUAAUUAGGUGUUUUCACAUUGACAUGUGCAGCCUAAAACUAUUGAGGAGAAUAUUUUUAGUGUCUGCGUGCUCUGUGGAAAAACACUGAACGUCCUUUUUAUGUACAGAGUAAAUCUGCCACAGGAAGGUAGAUUUACUCAAGCAGGAGUCCUCGCCUGUGUACGGUCAGUCAACAUAGCUGGACUUUUAUAUAUAUAUAUUUUUUCCCCCUUUUUUUUUCCUCUUAUUUUGAUGCUAGACCACUGCCAUACAAAGAUCCAUAACUUAUCUUAACAAGAUCCGCUUUGGCUCGCAAACUUACGAGAGAAGUGGUGAUACAGAUCAUAUAUAUAUUUAUAGCCAUUAUUUUAAAAAAGAGUAACAACUUCACCUUCAGAGCUGCAUUCAACUAUGGUGUGCGGGGAGGGAUUUGAUUUCUCUUUCUGCACAAAGCUCUUGGUCGUCCUCAACCCUGGGUGGGUUUAGUUUGGUUUUUUUUUUUGUACGGAGAGACGCUGUGAAUCCAUUGCAGGCAUUACGUGGCUGUUAUUUUGUAAGCACCAAAAAAAAUAAAAAA